rnacentral:rRNA from 1 species
GACGAACGCUGGCGGCGUGCCUAAUACAUGCAAGUUGAGCGAUGAAGCUUGGUGCUUGCACCAAUUUGAAGAGCAGCGAGCGGGUGAGUAACGCGUGGGGAAUCUGCCUUUGAGCGGGGGACAACAUUUGGAAACGAAUGCUAAUACCGCAUAACAACUUUAAACAUAAGUUUUAAGUUUGAAAGAUGCAAUUGCAUCACUCAAAGAUGAUCCCGCGUUGUAUUAGCUAGUUGGUGAGGUAAAGGCUCACCAAGGCGAUGAUACAUAGCCGACCUGAGAGGGGGAUCGGCCACCUUGGGACUGAGACAAGGCCCAAACUCCUACGGGAGGCAGCAGUAGGGAAUCUUCGGCAAUGGACGAAAGUCUGACCGAGCAACGCCGCGUGAGUGAAGAAGGUUUUCGGAUCGUAAAACUCUGUUGGUAGAGAAGAACGUUGGUGAGAGUGGAAAGCUCAUCAAGUGACGGUAACUACCCAGAAAGGGACGGCUAACUACGUG